AUUUUCGAGAAGAAGGGGAAAACCCCCAUUCUUAACCUAAUCAACAAAAAUACCCAAAAUGGAAGGCUCAAAGUGUGAGUAUUGUAUGCAUAAACAGAAAUUUGUGAUCACCCAAGCUAGGAGAUCAUAAGGCAAAUUGGGUGAAGCAUCAAGUGGCCAAUCCGGAGCGAACACACGGUUGAAUGAUAAGCUUUAAGGUCAUUGCUAUGAUGGAACAGAUGGGAUCAAACUAAACAAGAACCGAACACAAGUAAAGAUCAAGUUUUCGCGUUUGUUUAGUCGUUUUUGCUAAUCUAAACAUUGUAAAUCAAUAGAAAUGUUCUUUUUGAAUA